rnacentral:rRNA from 3 species
CAACUUUCAGCAACGGAUCUCUUGGCUCUCGCAUCGAUGAAGAACGCAGCGAAAUGCGAUAAGUAAUGUGAAUUGCAGAAUUCAGUGAAUCAUCGAAUCUUUGAACGCAUCUUGCGCUCCUUGGUAUUCUGAGGAGCAUGCCUGUUUGAGGGUCAUUA